GGAUGCAACCAAGCGGCAACCUCCCCCUUUCUCGAGAUGGGUCUGUCUGCGGACUGCAAGAGGGGGGCGUAACAAGAAAGGGGCGUAACUUGUUGAGGGGGCGUAACUUGAAGUUGUCCAAAUCACACAGAACCACGCGAGAUGUCAAAACGGCAAGAUGGCUGCUCGUAAUGAGACAAAGCUUCAUCAAACAGUUUGUAUAUUAAAAAAUGCAAUUGAUACUACAAAUGCCAGUUCUGCAGCAAAAUGGGAGAGUAUGCACAUGUUGUGGCACACAUGCAAACCCACGAGAAGACAGCUGUUAAACACGGAGGGUAUAAAAUGUACAGAUGCCAUGGUGGAUGUUUAAAAAGCCAUCAUUAUCACUGCUGCUAUUGUGCAAGGAUUAUAACUAGGCAAAAUUUAUUUUUGAACCAUGUGCAGAAAUGUGGGUUGGCUGACGCCUCAACAGGUCCCUGUGUCUCUGCAAACACCAGCAUCUGUGUACUCUCCAGCGUCUCCAGUACACCAUCCAUCGUCUCUGCACUAUCCAGUGCACCCUCCAGUACACCCUCCAGCGUCUCUGCACUAUCCAGUGCACCCUCCAGUACACCCUCCAGCGUCUCUGCACUAUCCAGUGCACCCUCCAGUACACCCUCCAGCGUCUCUGCACUAUCCAGUGCACCCUCCAGUACACCCUCCAGCGUCUCUGCACUAUCCAGUGCACCCUCCAGUAAACCCUCCAGCGUCUCUGCACUAUCCAGUGCACCCUCCAGUAAACCCUUCAGCGUCUCUGCACUAUCCACUGCACCCUCCAGUACACCUUCCAGCGCCUGUGCACCCUCCAGCACCUGUAAAAGCAUGGUACUCACAAAAAAUUAAGAAAAUUAGAUUUAAGCAAUAAGACUAAACUUGAUGAGCUAUAUAACAAUAACUAGUUUUCAAAACUGUUGUUCCCUCGCCUAUUAAAACAUGUAAUAUAUUAAAGCGUCUUUGGUGUUUCCAUGAUUUCUACAAAAUAAAACCGGAAACCGAGGGUAACGUGGGUAUGAUGCAAUUGACAGCAGCUUAACAAAUAGUUAGAAACAUUUGGGAUAUUGUAAGUACUCAAUUGAACAAAAUGUGCCUAGUGGUUUUUGGAUAUUUUACGGCAAAAUAUUACAUAUUGCACCUUUUUUUAUAUCAUUAAAUGUUUGCUUUCAUGUUUAAAAAAUGUGAUCUGUAGGUAAACUGUUCUGGAUGAUCGAAGACCAAAAGAUGAAAUCAUAGUGAAAGAUGGUCAGACAUGCUUGACAAGAGAGAAUCUCAUUUCCUUGGGAAAAAUAAAGUACAUGGAUUCUAUGGGAAAAGAUGUUUUCAUAAUUGAUUUCCACAUCUGUCCAACAUGGCUCCAGCCUUUGUCCUGUGACCCUUCGUGUAGUCUUCCAGUAAACUGUCAGAAGAAAGAUCUCCUGAUUUUCCCUCUCUGGACCCCAGGACAUUUUCUUCUCUGUGUAAGUGAUGGCAAUGAACAUUUGCAAACAUUUAUUGUUGGUGUCAAAUUAGUUUGCAAGCUGAUAAAAAUUAGAUCCUUGUUGUUACUUUUAAAUGUCUAUGUAAUAUAAUUAUGCUGGUAAAGAUUUUUAAACCCACUGCCUGGGCUGCACUCCCUAUAGGUUAUGAAGGUACAAAAAAGAGAAAUUUUCUUUCUCGACUCGCAAUAUUCGAUGCAGGCACAAGGCUUUGGACAUGAGCCUUAUCAAAACAUCUUAAGGUUACUCAAAGAUAAUCUUUUGGCAGCCGUGUUCUCCUGGUUUGUCAACACUGUUAAAACUGGUUAUUAAGCAGUCAUGUUCCCCUGACUUGCACUGUUCUUCAGAAAUGCAGUGUUCUGUUUUUGUAGACAUAUCUACAGUUGAUGUAACUGCCGUGGUUAAAUCUUAAUUUUAUGAAGCGACAAUAAUACUUUUUGUGUGCAAAAUAAAAAAUAUGAAUUUGUUUUCUGAAGAUGCAUGAAGGUCUUACGGGUUUGGAAUGACAUGUGGGUGAGUAAUUAAUGACAGAAUUUUCAUUUUUGGGUGAACUAACCCUUCAACCAAUUUGAACCUUAACAGUAACCAAGAUUCAGUUCCUUAAACCAUGAUUGUUCAUUAAUUUAUGAUACUGUAUGCUGCAACUUAUUGUAGUUUUUUUUUGUUUGUUUUGUUUUUUAAUUUUAAAGGUUGAAGUAAACGGCUUAAACAAUAAGAAAUCAAAGACCUCACUGUACCUGCUCUGAGCCCAUCAUUGCAUCAGUGACCACUGUGCCUUUUAUUUAAAGGUUGAAGUAAUGGCUUAAACAAGAAGACAACAAGAAGACCUCAUUGUGCCUGUGAUUUGUUCAUUAAGUCAUGACACCUAAUGCUGUAACUUUUGUUACCCAAAAUUAAAUAUGUUGAAAUGGAAAAAUUGUCUUAAACAUUUGGGUUGAUGUUUUAUGUGCUUUUUUUUUAUGGUAAAACAUUAAUAUUCAUUGUUAAUUCAUGACACCUAAUGCUGUAACUUGUUACCAAAUAUGAAACAUUGGAAUGGAUUUUUUUUUUUUUUUUUUUGAGGGAGAGAGACCGGUGACCAACGUGAAUGUGUGUGCAUCUGUGUUGACAAAUAAAUUCAUAAAUACUUCCUCAAAAGUAGCUUAAUGUCAGUUCAUUUAAGCUUAGUUUAAGAAAUAAGUUAUUGAUUCAGACGUCCUUUUUUAUAUAAGGAAUAAACGUUUCUUAAUAGACUUUCAAUGGCAGGUUGAAUACAUAAUUAUGUUGGAUUUUAUAGUCAAGUGACCAUAUUAAAUUAUUAAACGAUGCAAACAAAAUUCAAUUCUCCUUUAAUGCAGCAUUAAAAAGACAAUAGUGUCAUCGUUCAGCUUAACUCCGGUGUUUUUCACAGUCAAUAACUAAAGUGCAUAAAUUAGGGAGGAAACAGGUGGCAUCACAUUUCAUCAUCUCCUGCUUGAAGACCGCAAUAUGUCAUGCCGACAUAUGACGAUACUGACCACGGUAAGACAAAUAAUGUUAAAUAAACUAUUAGUAGUACGUUUCUAUAGCGAUUUAUAUUGCCGUCAUUUCGUUUUGACAUCUCGCGUGGUUCUGUGUGAUUUGAGCAACUUCAAGUUACGCCCCCUCAAGUUACGCCCCUUUCUUGUUACGCCCCCCUCUUGCAGUCCGCAGACAGAUACUAUUGCCUUUCUCUGGUGAAGCCAAUACGGAAGUAACUUAAACUGCGAUUCAUCGACUGGCCGCUAGGGACAGGCUC